GUGUAGUGUCCUGAGCAGCGUAAUGAAGUAGAUUGCGAUUUUUACAUGUUGCGGUUUAUGAAAGAUAUUCUUCUUUUGAAUCAAAUAGAGAUUCCGUCCAAGUACUUUGAUGACUUCAAGUGUGCUACUUACUCAAGAUCUAAGUUGGAUGAACUUAAGGAGGAUUGGUGUCAAUUCAUGAUUGAGUUGAAAGUUGUAUAGGAUAUUGAAGGGUAAAAAGGUUACAGUUGCUGGCAAGAAGAAAAAGUAGAUAUUUAGCAUCCUUUUGACUUGUGUAAAAAAUAACAAUGUUUUGGAUGAUGCAAUUAUUUUCAUUGAAUUGGAUGUAAUUUUGUUGUUGUUUAUUAAUAUAUUCUUAGCAUCU